GACGAACGGCUGGCGGCGUGCUUAACACAUGCAAGUCGAACGGUGACGAGGAGCUUGCUCCUCUGAUCAGUGGCGAACGGGUGAGUAACACGUGAGCAACCUGCCCCAGACUCUGGGAUAACAGUUGGAAACAGCUGCUAAUACCGGAUACGAGACGGAGAGGCAUCUCUACCGUCUGGAAAGUUUUUCGGUCUGGGAUGGACUCGCGGCCUAUCAGCUAGUUGGUGAGGUAAUGGCUCACCAAGGCGACGACGGGUAGCCGGCCUGAGAGGGCGACCGGCCACACUGGGACUGAGACACGGCCCAGACUCCUACGGGAGGCAGCAGUGGGGAAUAUUGCACAAUGGGCGAAAGCCUGAUGCAGCGACGCCGCGUGAGGGAUGACGGCCUUCGGGUUGUAAACCUCUUUCAGCAGGGAAGAAGCGAAAGUGACGGUACCUGCAGAAGAAGCACCGGCUAACUACGUG
rnacentral:rRNA from 1 species